GAUGAACGCUGGCGGCGUGCCUAAUACAUGCAAGUCGAGCGAACAGAUGAGGAGCUUGCUCCUCUGACGUUAGCGGCGGACGGGUGAGUAACACGUGGAUAACCUACCUAUAAGACUGGGAUAACUUCGGGAAACCGGAGCUAAUACCGGAUAAUAUAUCGAACCGCAUGGUUCAAUAGUGAAAGAUGGUUUUGCUGUCACUUAUAGAUGGAUCCGCGCCGCAUUAGCUAGUUGGUAAGGUAACGGCUUACCAAGGCGACGAUGCGUAGCCGACCUGAGAGGGUGAUCGGCCACACUGGAACUGAGACACGGUCCAGACUCCUACGGGAGGCAGCAGUAGGGAAUCUUCCGCAAUGGGCGAAAGCUUGACGGAGCAACGCCGCGUGAGUGAUGAAGGUCUUCGGAUCGUAAAACUCUGUUAUUAGGGAAGAACAAAUGUGUAAGUAACUAUGCACGUCUUGACGGUACCUAAUCAGAAAGCCACGGCUAACUACGUG
rnacentral:rRNA from 1 species